rnacentral:lncRNA from 1 species
CUAUGUCAGAGACAAUCGCAAGCUUAAGACAAUGAUCUCGGCAUCCACUACAAGGCUCAAGUUCAUCCAUAAGUGCAAUUGGAAGCAGUCUCGAUACCUUGACGUAGGACAGUACAGACCCAUCUCGAUCUUUUCUUUUCACUUAACUUGAUUUUCAAUUUUUAGCACAAGAAAUUACAAGUUGCCCAAGCAAGUGUAUAACUCCAAGCAUGAGACAUAGCAACCUAGCAUAUAAAUGAUAGCUCAAGUGACCUCAACACAUCCUACACAUGCUAGUUGCCAAUCACAAUGGUGAACAAUUUUCAGGUUUGAACAAGUUUAUGUCAAGUUCACAAGUUAUAAAAUAUGCUUAGCUCAUAACAUGCAUCAAGUGAUCAAAAGGAGCCUAAGCGACAAGCACCAUCAUGUACAUACAAGACAUAUCACAAAGAGCAUAAUCUCAAUCUAACAACUAUAAUCAUGAAGCUCAAAAUGCUCUAAUAUAUAUGAUGAGAUGAAAUGCAAUGCAAUAUGAUACAAAAAUAAAAUAAAAGCUAAACUAAAAGAAAACAAAACUAGAGUAAAAAAACCAAAGUUCCCCUCAACUAAAAAGGGAAACAAACUCCAAGCUCCCCUCGCAAGCGAGCAAACUGGGCUUGGUCAAGUGGUUUGGUAAAGAUGUCUGCAAGCUGAUUUUGGGUAUCAACAUGGUGUAGGUCAAUAUCUCCUUUCUCAUAGUGGUCACGC